CGGGAACAACAACAACAACUACGGCAGCUCCUCAAGCUCGGCGUAUGAUAGCAAGUCGACCGACAAAAGCAACUCGUCCUCUUCCAUGAAGGUCGACAACAAGUCGACUAUGAAGAGCGAUUCGUCUUCGACCAUGAAGGACGGUAGCAAGACCACGUCCUCGGAGAAGAUGGGUUCAACUUCGACUUCGAUGGACAAGUCCAAGUACACCUCCACAACUUCCAG
rnacentral:misc_RNA from 1 species